GAGUUUGAUCAUGGCUCAGAUUGAACGCUGGCGGCAUGCCUUACACAUGCAAGUCGAACGGCAGCAUGAUCUAGCUUGCUAGAUUGAUGGCGAGUGGCGAACGGGUGAGUAAUACAUCGGAACGUGCCCUGUAGUGGGGGAUAACUAGUCGAAAGAUUAGCUAAUACCGCAUACGACCUGAGGGUGAAAGUGGGGGACCGCAAGGCCUCAUGCUAUAGGAGCGGCCGAUGUCUGAUUAGCUAGUUGGUGGGUAAAGGCCCACCAAGGCGACGAUCGAGUAGCUGGUCUCGAGAGGACGAUCAGCCACACUGGGACUGAGACACGGCCCAGACUCCUACGGGAGGCAGCAGUGGGGAAUUUUGGACAAUGGGCGAAAGCCUGAUCCAGCAAUGCCGCGUGUGUG
rnacentral:rRNA from 1 species